rnacentral:misc_RNA from 1 species
UUUCCGUAGGUGAACCUGCGGAAGGAUCAUUACUGUAUCGGGGUGCCCCCCCUCUCUCUCCGGCGGGUUGCGGGUGCACCUUACCUUACAACCCUUGUCUAUGAGCACCUCUCGUUUCCUCGGCAGGCUCGCCUGCCAACGGGGACCCACCACAAACCCAUUGUAGUACAAGAAGUACACGUCUGAACAAAACAAAACAAACUAUUUACAACUUUCAACAACGGAUCUCUUGGUUCUGGCAUCGAUGAAGAACGCAGC